rnacentral:rRNA from 1 species
GACGAACGCUGGCGGCGUGCUUAACACAUGCAAGUCGAACGGAAAGGCCCUUCGGGGUACUCGAGUGGCGAACGGGUGAGUAACACGUGGGUGAUCUGCCCUGCACUUUGGGAUAAGCCUGGGAAACUGGGUCUAAUACCGAAUAGGACCACGCGCUUCAUGGUGUGUGGUGGAAAGCUUUUGCGGUGUGGGAUGGGCCCGCGGCCUAUCAGCUUGUUGGUGGGGGAAUGGCCUACCAAGGCGACGACGGGUAGCCGGCCUGAGAGGGUGACCGGCCACACUGGGACUGAGAUACGGCCCAGACUCCUACGGGAGGCAGCAGUGGGGAAUAUUGCACAAUGGGCGCAAGCCUGAUGCAGCGACGCCGCGUGAGGGAUGACGGCCUUCGGGUUGUAAACCUCUUUCAAUAGGGACGAAGCGCAAGUGACGGUACCUAUAGAAGAAGCACCGGCCAACUACGUG